rnacentral:rRNA from 1 species
CAACCUGCCGAUGACUCGGGGAUAGCCUUUCGAGAGAAAGAUUAAUACCCGAUGGCAUAGUUCUUCNNCAUGGUAGAACUAUUAAAGAAUUUCGGUCAUCGAUGGGGAUGCGUUCCAUUAGGUUGUUGGCGGGGUAACGGCCCACCAAGCCUUCGAUGGAUAGGGGUUCUGAGAGGAAGGUCCCCCACAUUGGAACUGAGACACGGUCCAAACUCCUACGGGAGGCAGCAGUGAGGAAUAUUGGUCAAUGGACGAGAGUCUGAACCAGCCAAGUAGCGUGAAGGAUGACUGCCCUAUGGGUUGUAAACUUCUUUUAUACGGGAAUAAAGUGAGGCACGUGUGCCUUUUUGUAUGUACCGUAUGAAUAAGGAUCGGCUAACUCCGUGCCAGCAGCCGCGGUAAUACGGAGGAUCCGAGCGUUAUCCGGAUUUAUUGGGUUUAAAGGGAGCGUAGGCGGACGCUUAAGUCAGUUGUGAAAGUUUGCGGCUCAACCGUAAAAUUGCAGUUGAUACUGGGUGUCUUGAGUACAGUAGAGGCAGGCGGAAUUCGUGGUGUAGCGGUGAAAUGCUUAGAUAUCACGAAGAACUCCGAUUG